UAGGGAAUCUUCGGCAAUGGACGAAAGUCUGACCGAGCAACGCCGCGAGAGUGAAGAAGGUUUUCGGAUCGUAAAACUCUGUUGUUAGAGAAGAACAAGGACGUUAGUAACUGAACGUCCCCUGACGGUAUCUAACCAGAAAGCCACGGCUAACUACGUGCCAGCAGCCGCGGUAAUACGUAGGUGGCAAGCGUUGUCCGGAUUUAUUGGGCGUAAAGCGAGCGCAGGCGGUUUCUUAAGUCUGAUGUGAAAGCCCCCGGCUCAACCGGGGAGGGUCAUUUGAAACUGGGAGACUUGAGUGCAGACGAGGAGAGUGGAAUUCCAUGUGUAGCGGUGAAAUGCAUAGAUAUAUGGAGGAACACCAGUUGCGAAGGCGGCUCUCUGGUCUGUAACUGACGCUGAGGCUCGAAAGCGUGGGGAGCAAACAGG
rnacentral:rRNA from 1 species